rnacentral:rRNA from 1 species
UACGAGUGGUGCUAGCGUUAUUCGGAAUCAUUGGGCGUAAAGGGCGUGUAGACGGCUUAUUAAGUCUGUCGUUAAAUUCCUCAGCUUAACUGAGGCCAUGCGAUGGAAACUGGUAUGCUAGAGGGUGAGAGAGAGAAGUGGAAUUCUCGGAGUAGCGGUAAAAUGCGUAGAUCUCGAGAGGAACACCAAUGGCGAAGGCAGCUUCUUGGCUCAUACCUGACGUUGAGGCGCGAAAGCGUGGGGAGCAAACAGG